ACAAACAUAAAAUGGUGGAACCACGAACCAUCAUGCGUGUGGACGAACACAGUGCGAGCAGCUGGAAUGUGUUGCACCACAUUGUGCCUGUGAUGUGGAUGAAAAUAAAAUAAAAACCAGCUGUAUAAUUAGUGAAUAUCACUGAGUUGAUAUAAAUCAUAA